rnacentral:lncRNA from 1 species
GUGACUUGAACUAAUUACUUGAAUGUGAUUGUGUAGAUGAAACCUGAUUGUAGCUGGAUAUAUUAACGAAAUAUUGAUAAUAGAAUGGGUGAUGCUGAGAUUGAAGAUGCGGAUGCUGAGUUGUAGUUUUUAGUAUUUUGUAUGUUUUAUAGUUUGGAUUUGGUACCUCGAUAAAUUUUGUAAAUAAUGUUUGUAUUCUUAUGGUGGUUGGUUGAUUGUAUAUUAAAUGAUUGGUGGGAUGUAUUGUAGAUAAUAAUCAAUGUUUGUAAAUGAUUGGUGG